UUUACACCAAGGUCGGGUUGUGCAACUGCAAACCAAUAUGCUAAUAGCAUCUGAGAUUGAAGUGUUGGUAUUAGAUAGUUGUGUUGUUGAUUGUAUUCAUAUGAUCCAGGGAGAUUUUUUGAAGAAUAAGGACUAAGGUUCAUGUUUUAUUUAUUCAUGUUUCAGGGAGUUGUAUACUUACUAGCUCAAGAAAAGCAGCAAUGUGGUGGACAGAUUACUUCUAAGAUGAAUGGGAUGAAAGCAACAUUACAAAGAGUCAACCUUCUGAUGCCAUAUAUGCACGCAGUGGCGGAUCCAGGGUCAAAAACUAUGCGGGGCAUUAAAGGAGGAAUUUUUUCUUCAGCAAUAGAAAAUGUUGGGAAGGAAAUAAAAAAACGUUGAGAAGAAAGAAUAAAAUGGAAAAUAAAUGCAGAUGAGUGGGUUUAAACCCAGCUCCUCACACACAAUGUAAGACACCUUUCUCCAAAUGAGCUAGCAGAUACUAUAUUGCAAGGACUAGUUCAAAGAUCAUUAAAAAGGAGUGUGGGGGCACGUGCCCCACCCCCUUUAGCUGUAGAUCCCCCUGUAUGCACGUCACGGCCUCACGGGUGGGUUUGUGUGAACCUUUUUGUCUAAUUCACGCGGUCAAUCAUUGGGGAUAGUGGAUCAAUGGAGAUAGUGGAUACGCAAAUAAACCGAAUCUAGCAAUCAAAUCGGAUGGCCAAUACCGGUUUUACUUGGACAAGUUUUCUUAUGAACUUACCAAACUACAUAACCUUUUUAAAAACUGAACACAAUUACAACAUACUUUUAUUACAAAAGCUUUAUACAACCAAUAUGACGAAUGGAUUUCUUUCG